rnacentral:misc_RNA from 1 species
GUGAAUCAUCGAAUUUUUGAACGCAAAUUGCGCCUUUUUCGGUAGGCAUGUCUGUUUGAGGUCGCCGUUUAACAAAUAAUGUGCAGCGUUUUUUGUUGCACACGUUGAUGAGCUUUCCAAGAAUUUUAAAUUGUUGUUGGCGCAUAAUGAACAGCGUGAAAGUUUUUUUCAUUUCGAGUGUAUUAAAAUCUUUGCUUGGGUUGUGAAAAAACAUAAUCGAACAAUGGGAGU